rnacentral:rRNA from 1 species
UGGGGAAUUUUGGACAAUGGGGGCAACCCUGAUCCAGCCAUGCCGCGUGAGUGAAGAAGGCCUUCGGGUUGUAAAGCUCUUUCGGCCGGGAAGAAAUCGUGUUCUCUAACAUAGGACAUGGAUGACGGUACCGGACUAAGAAGCACCGGCUAACUACGUGCCAGCAGCCGCGGUAAUACGUAGGGUGCGAGCGUUAAUCGGAAUUACUGGGCGUAAAGCGUGCGCAGGCGGUUUUGUAAGACAGAUGUGAAAUCCCCGGGCUUAACCUGGGAACUGCGUUUGUGACUGCAAGGCUAGAGUACGGCAGAGGGGGGUGGAAUUCCUGGUGUAGCAGUGAAAUGCGUAGAUAUCAGGAGGAACACCGAUGGCGAAGGCAGCCCCCUGGGCCUGUACUGACGCU